AUGAAAUUAAAAUUAUUAAAUAUAAUUUUAUCAAUAAUAAAUAAACUUAAUAAUAAUAAUAAUAUUAUUAUUAAUAAUCUAUUAGAUUCAUUAAUAAAUAAGAAAUUAUUAUUAAAGAAUAUAUUAUUAGAUAUAAAUAAUAAAAAAAUAAAUAAUAUAAAAAGAAUAUUAAAUAAUAAUAAUAUAAAUAUUAAUAAUAAAUUACAACAUUUAAAUAAUAUAAAUAAUUGAAAUCUACAAAUUUAUAAUUAUAAUAAAAAUAUAGAAAUUAUAAAUACUAUAAAUGAUAAAUUAAUUAAUAAAUUAUUAUAUAAAAUAAUAACUUUAAAAUUAAAUAAUAUAAAUAUUAAUAAAAUUAUUAUAAGUAAACUUAUUAAUCAACAUAGUUUAAAUAAAUUAAAUAUUAAAUUUUAUUAUUAUAAUAAUGAUAUUAAUAAUAAUAAUAAUAAUAAUAAUAAUAAUAAUAAUUAUUAUAUAAAUAUAAUAAAUAAAUUAAUAAAUAUUAUAAAUAAUAAUAUAAAUAAUAAUUUAUGUAAUAUUUUAAGUUAUUAUUAUAAUAAAAAAGUAACUAUUGAACCUAUUAAAUUAUCAUAUAUUUAUUUAAAUAGUGAUAUUUUUAGUAAAUAUAUUAGUUUAAAUGAUAUAGAUAAAUAUAAUAAUGGUAUCUUAACUAAUUAUCAACGUAUAUUAAAUAAUAUUAUGCCUAAAUUAAAUGAUCAUAAUAUUUCUAUAAAUUAUAUUAAUAAUAUUAAUAAUAUUAAUAAUAAUAAAUAUAAUAAUAUAAUUAAUUUAUUAAAUAAUAAUAAUAAUAAUAAUAAUAAUAAUAAUAUUAAUAAUAAUAAUAAUUAUAAUAAUUAUAAUAAUAAUUAUAUUGGUAAUAUUAAUAAUAUUUAUAAUAAUAUAACUAUUGAUAAUAUUCCUAUAGAUAUUUUAAUAUAUAAAUAUUUAGUUGGUUGAUCUAUUAAAUUUAAAGGUAGAUUAAGUAAUAAUAAUGGUAGAACUAGUACACUUAAUUUAUUAAAUGGUACUUUUAAUAAUAAAAAAUAUUUAUGAAGUAAUAUUAAUAAUAAUUAUAAAUUAAAUUAUAUCCCUUCUAAUCAUAAUUUAUAUAAUAAUUCUAAUAUUAAUAAAAAUGGUAAAUAUAAUAUUAAAGUUAAAUUAAACUUUAUUUAA
rnacentral:rRNA from 1 species